AGCCCCAUUUUACAGAGGUUGAUAUUGCAGCAACACGUAUUCAUUUUAGUUUUGUGAGCUUCGCUGUCCGCUCCUCUUGACGCACCAAUUCAGCGCAUUUUCCAGCAGAGAUCGUUGUGAGAUCGCAGGUCGGGAGAAUGACAGUUCGAGUGCAUUUCUCGUUGAUUGCUGUUUUAUCGUGUCUGUUCGGAUACUUGAGCAUAACUCCCGCUAUUCAAAGACGAACCACAGUGGACUGUUUCUGUCCGGCGAGGCUGGCAGUUGUGCCCUCCCGUUGAGGAUGUUUUUCUGAAAAAGACUGCCCUGGAGGAGACAAAUGCUGUCAAUUUGAUUUGGGGCCUGUUUGUGUGCCGCCUGUUUUCAUGAAGCCGGGUCAAUGUCCCAUACCGGGACAGAUUCCACUGUGUGCUGAAAGCUGUUUUCAUGAUGGCCUGCCACACAGAAGUGUUACCCAACCACCAGUGGCUUUGCAUGCAGUGAACCACAUGGUCAGGCAAGUUGCCAGGCAAGCGGCCAGGGCCAGGGCAGCGGUCGGGGCCAGGGCAGCGGCCGGGGCCAGGGCAGCGGCCAUGGCCAGGGAAGCGGUCAAGGGAAUUGGCCAGGGCAGCGGUCGGGGCCAGGGCAGCGGCCAUGGCCAGGGAAGCGGUCAAGGGAAUUGUCGGCGAUGUGGUCAUUGAAAUGGCCAUGGGAAUUUUGCAUAACACUUACUGGCGAUCUUUUCAAUUCAGUGCUUUAUUCAUAUGGCAUAUGUUCCC